rnacentral:rRNA from 1 species
AAUGAACGCUGGCGGCAGGCCUAAUACAUGCAAGUCGAGCGAGCGGAGGACGGGCGAGUAAGGUAUGGGGAUCUGCCCGAUAGAGGGGGAUAACUACUGGAAACGGUGGCUAAAACUGCAAACUACCGGAUGAACCCAUAGUGGAUUAGCUAGUAGGUGGGGUAAAGGCUCACCAAGGCGACGAUCUCUAGCUGGUCUGAGAGGGUGAUCGGCCACACUGGGACUGAGACACGGCCCAGACUCCUACGGGAGGCAGCAGUAGGGAAUAUUGCGCAAUGGGCGCAAGCCUGAUGCAGCCAUGCCGCGUGUAUGAAGAAGGCCUUAGGAUUGUAAAGUACUUUCAGCAGGGAAGCGUUACCCACAGAGGAAGCACCGGCUAACUCCGUGCCAGCAGCCGCGGUAAUUC